rnacentral:rRNA from 1 species
GAUGAACGCUGGCGGCGUGCUUAACACAUGCAAGUCGAACGAAGCACUUUAUUUGAUUUCCUUCGGGACUGAUUAUUUUGUGACUGAGUGGCGGACGGGUGAGUAACGCGUGGGUAACCUGCCUUGUACAGGGGGAUAACAGUUGGAAACGGCUGCUAAUACCGCAUAAGCGCACAGCAUCGCAUGAUGCAGUGUGAAAAACUCCGGUGGUAUAAGAUGGACCCGCGUUGGAUUAGCUAGUUGGUGAGGUAACGGCCCACCAAGGCGACGAUCCAUAGCCGACCUGAGAGGGUGACCGGCCACAUUGGGACUGAGACACGGCCCAAACUCCUACGGGAGGCAGCAGUGGGGAAUAUUGCACAAUGGGCGAAAGCCUGAUGCAGCGACGCCGCGUGAGCGAAGAAGAAUUUCGGUAUGUAAAGCUCUAUCAGCAGGGAAGAUAAUGACGGUACCUGACUAAGAAGCACCGGCUAAAUACGUG